GGAGUUGGUUGGCUGCUGUGAGGACAAGGAGGAGUCAGUGCCUGGAGGAGAUGCCUGCAAGAAACAUCAAGGAGAGAGCAACUAUAUUUGUUUACUGAAGCUAUCCUGAAUGUAGAAGGCAAUUAACCUUUUAUGAAGGUUGAAGCAGACUAUUACAUAAACCCAGAAGUGGCAGACGUUCCAUCCCGGGCAACACUGAAGGAGUCAGACAGGGCACUGAGCACCCUAGCGUGGUUGAAGAUGUCCUGCUCAUUACAGGGAUGUUGCCUAGAUGAGAAUUAAAGGUCCCUUGCAACCCAGAGCACACUCCUAGCUUGUAUGGAAAACUCUCUGUACCUGCAAUGUACUUUGAGAGCCCAAUGAAAGAUUAAUCUCCUGGAAGGACUAUCAGAAGCUUUUACUUUGGUCUUGCAGAGGACAACUCCUCUUAUGAAACAGCAAUAUUGUUAAUAAACCUCAGAAAGUGAGAGCAGUAAAUAAACCACACAAAUCUGCAUGGUGUGAUAUCACAGCCCUUACAUCCCUGUUCUCCAAAGAGUCAGUGUUUCAGGGUCCAUGAUCCAGGGUGUGUUUGCUCAUCCCCUCCUGGACAGGAACUAGAAUGUUAGCAAUGCAAAAAUGUUUCUCUUUCUCCUCCUGAACCACUGCUUUUCCCCUUCCUCCCUCUGAAUCGCCACUUUGUGUCACAGAUAUCUUAUAAGACUUUUCUCCUCUCUGAAAAAUGCUAUGUUUGCACAAAAAAAAAAAAAAAAAAGCUUUAAGGGUGGGUGACACAGACCCAUCUUUGUGACUUCUGUUUCAUAGACCUCUCUGGAGAUCUUUGGAUGUAUCUAAAAUUACUUGAAAGUAACUUAGAGGAGAUUAACAUGAAUUAACAUGAUUUUACAAUUCCUCCUUAAAAGUGGUAAAUAACAUCCAAAGAAACAGGUUUUCAUGUGUCUUAAACCCACCAGUGUGUAUUGGGUGUCAGCUGGGACUGUGGGCUGGCCUCUCUGAGGACUCAGUGCAAGGCACAGCUGAGCCCAUCAGCCAAUGUGGGCAAAAUCUUUAAGGGGAAAAAAAUUUGAGACAUGGAAGAAUCAGGAGUGAAGUUGAGCCUAGGAAGGAAGAGGGUUGGUGAGGCUGGUUUUGUUUUUUAUUAGUCACCAUCCUACUUUGUUAUUAGUUUGUAAUAAAAUUAAAUUAAUUUCCUCA